rnacentral:rRNA from 1 species
AACGAACGCUGGCGGCAUGCCUAACACAUGCAAGUCGAACGAGACCUUCGGGUCUAGUGGCGCACGGGUGCGUAACGCGUGGGAACCUGCCCUUAGGUUCGGAAUAACUCCCCGAAAGGGGUGCUAAUACCGGAUAAUGUCUUCGGACCAAAGAUUUAUUGCCUUUGGAUGGGCCCGCGUUGGAUUAGCUAGUUGGUAGGGUAAAAGCCUACCAAGGCGACGAUCCAUAGCUGGUCUGAGAGGAUGAUCGGCAGAACUGGGAAAGAGACCCGCCCCAGACUCUCACGGGGGGGGGCAUGGGAGAAAUUUGAAAAAGGGGCGAAAGCCUGAUCCAGCAAGGCCGGGUGGGUGUUAAGGCCCUAAGGUUUGUAAACCUCUUUUGCCCGGGAUUAUAAUGGCUGUACCGGGUAAAGAAGCACCGGCUAACCCCGU